UACGUAGGGUGCGAGCGUUGUCCGGAAUUAUUGGGCGUAAAGAGCUUGUAGGCGGUUUGUCGCGUCUGCUGUGAAAAUCCGGGGCUCAACCCCGGACCUGCAGUGGGUACGGGCAGGCUAGAGUGUGGUAGGGGAGACUGGAAUUCCUGGUGUAGCGGUGAAAUGCGCAGAUAUCAGGAGGAACACCGAUGGCGAAGGCAGGUCUCUGGGCCACUACUGACGCUGAGAUGCGAAAGCGUGGGGAGCGAACGGG
rnacentral:rRNA from 1 species